CAGCAGAAUCAAUAUGAUUUUUUUUACUGAAAGAACGGAUUACCGUAUAAAUAGCUUAAGUGAAAGGUUUAAUACGAGUCAUUGCGAAUUAAGCUCGUUACGGUUAAGAUGACGAAAUUUUGCUUACUUUUAUUAUGGGCUGUACUCAGCUUUGCAGUUAUACAAGUUGCAGCAAAAAUUGUAGGAUGCAGGUACAAGACUUUAUCUCUGCGGCGCGGGCAACAAUAUUGUCGCCGAAUCUGUGUGAAAGAGGGUGUGCGAAGUCAGUGCAGAAAAGUUAACUUAUCCUCUCGGGUUAGCGUAUGCCCAGUGGGUUGCUGUCAACUUGGCGAUAGUUGUGUGUCGAUCAGACAAAGAAAGCUUUAAGAGAAUACGCCAUUCUUUAAAUUUUCUUACACAAAUAAUAAAUAUUUUUUGCAAGCUUAUUUGUAGUAUCUCUAAAAGAUGGAAACAUAAUAAAAUAUGUAUAAACUGUUUAACAGCAAGAAUAAAUUUGUAAUGUAAUUUAACUGUGUAUUCUUAAAAUAUGUUUAAAUAUACUCAUAAAAACUGAAACAGAUUAUUGCAUAAAUAGCUCAAGCGAAAGGCUUAACAGAUUCAUCACGAAUUAUCCUCGUUACUGUUAAGAUGUCGAAAUUUUGUCUACUUUUUUUAUUGAGCACACUCAGCUUGGCAGUUAUACAAGCGCAAAGUGUGGGAUGCAGGCCAAACAACUUAGCUCUGCGAGCUGGACAGCGAGUUUGUCACCGAAUUUGUGUUAAAGAUAGUGUACAGAAUCGGUGCGAAAUAGUCAAAAAAUAUACACAAAUGAGAGUAUGCCCACUGAGUUGCUGUCAACUUGGCAAUAAGUGUGUGUCGCUCAGAAGUCGAAAGUUUUGAGGAGGAUAAAUAAUUUUUUUAGUGUACUAUGAUAUGUAACUACAUGUACGGGUACUAAAAUAAAUAAAACGCUGAAAUUUUU